GCUCGCUUGGUGAAAAAGGCAAACACGACGGAUUUAAAAUCCGUUCUUUAUUAAAGGUUACUGGUUCGAAUCCUGUAGCGAGUA
rnacentral:tRNA from 1 species